GCAGUUCUGUUCUUUAUUGAGUCUAUUAACAGCAAGUGUAUGAUGCGCAGUUAUAGCUGUGGAACUAAAUGGUUGUUUGAUAAUGGCCAAUGUUCAUCGUGUACAGAUCACCUUAAUGAAUGUCAAAUUAUGGGUUUUUAUGCCAGAAUGCCACCAUCUAAACUUCCAGUGCAGUAUCACCUGGCAACACGAUCUCGAAGUCCUUUUUGUGGUAAGUUUCGUUUGUCAUGCAAACGAGAGCC